rnacentral:tRNA from 1 species
GGUGGCUCAGUGGUAGAGCGCUUGCCUAGCAUGCAUGAGGCCCUGGGUUCAAUUCCUCAGUACCA